GUCCAUGCUGUAAACGAUGAAUGUUAGAUAUCGGAAUAAGUAAAUUAAUUCGGUUUCACAGCUAACGCGAAAACAUUCCGCCUGGGGACUACGGUCGCAAGAUUAAAACUUAAAGGAAUUGACGGAAAUCUACACAAGCGGUGGAACAUGUGGUUUUAAUUCGAUACAACGCGCAAAACCUUACCAGUCUUGGAAAUAUAAAUAAAAUAAAGUAAAAAUUAAAAUUUUAAUUAAGAUUAAAAUAAAAUAAAGUUUAAUACAGGUGUUGCAUGGCUGUCGU
rnacentral:rRNA from 1 species